AGAAUCAACGCUGGCGGCGUGCCUAACACAUGCAAGUCGAACGAGAAAGUGGAGCAAUCCAUGAGUAAAGUGGCGACCGGGUGAGUAACACGUGACUAACCUACCUUCGAGUGGGGGAUAACCUCGGGAAACCGAGGCUAAUACCGCAUAACAUCGCAAGAUCAAAGCAGCAAUGCGCUGGAAGAGGGGGUCGCGGCUGAUUAGCUAGUUGGCGGGGUAACGGCCCACCAAGGCGAAGAUCGGUAGCCGGCCUGAGAGGGCGCACGGCCACACUGGAACUGAAACACGGUCCAGACUCCUACGGGAGGCAGCAGUGGGGAAUUUGCGCAAUGGGGGAAACCCUGACGCAGCAACGCCGCGUGGAGGAUGAAGCCCCUUGGGGCGUAAACUCCUUUCGACCAAGACGAUAAUGACGGUACUGGUGGAAGAAGCACCGGCUAACUCUGCGCCAGCAGCCGC
rnacentral:rRNA from 1 species